AAUAAAUUAGAUAACUCUUUCAACCCUCCCUCUCUAUUUUUCUUCCGACCCGCCAGCACAAAACUCCCCCUCCUCCUCCUUUCUCUGAUUUUUUUUUUCUCGACAGCAGCAAAUGGGGGAUUAAAAUCGGUAUAAAAAAAGGGGUUAAAUUUUAUAAUUUUUCAAAAAAAAGGGGGAUAAUGAGCAUGGAAACAUACAUAAUCGUAGCAGAAAAUGAAAGACAACAAACGUUUUAUCAGGAACAAAGACACGCUAAAAGAAUGCCAACAACCGAACAAGAUGAAACGAUGCAACUGAAAUGGAAUAUCUAUAAAAGGCUGAAAAGGGAAGAAUUUGAUGAUGAACCAAAUGAUGAUUAUGUAGCGAGUGACCAAACUUAUUUGAAAAAUAUGAAGGGUGUUGUGGAGACGGAAGACAAACCUGUAAAGCAGCCAAGCUCGUUCCCUUGGCGUCGUGGGCGCAAAAGAAUGCCCUACCGGAUAAAACCAAGGUCACCCCCGAACUCUUUUUAUCGUUUGAUGUGUAGGCUAAGUGAUGAUCAAAAGGCUGCGAUAAGGGAAAUGGGAUUCGCGUCAAUGCUUGACUUUCAAAUAGAUAAGAUUCCAACAGUUAUGGGAUAUUGGGCUGUGAAGAACUUUGAUCAUAAGGCAUGCACGUUAAAGAUUAGGGAUGCGUCAUUGAAAGUCACAAAUAAAACAAUACAUGAUGUUCUAGGUGUUCCAAUGGGUGGUACGAGAAUCAAUACAUUCAUUACAAAUUGUAAGUGGAAUCUUGCAACACAAGAAUUUAGGAAGCAAUUUCCAGCCACAAAGAAAUCGAUACGUGUUGCGGAUGUAAUUCGUGAGAUGGUAGAGCAGGAGAAAGGUGGCACACUAUUUAAAUUGAACUUUCUAGUUUUGUUUGUUACAGUUAUGGUGGGAAGUCAUGGUGGGGUGGUGAACCAAAAUUUUUUGGGGUGUAUGAAAAAUUUGCAGGAUGUGAGAAAUAUGGAUUGGUGCCAAUACAUUCUUGAGUGCUUGGUGAGAACAAGAAGGGAAUGGAAUCCGAUUAGCUACUUCAACGGCCCAAUGGCCUUUUUGGUCGUUUUCUAUGCACAUUCAAUCAAUCCAAAAAAUACAGGGAAGGAGACAUUGGUUCCAGUAAUCAACUUGUGGACAUCAGAUAUGUUGAUGGAAUUAGAAGCGGCGGAGUUCAAUACUGGAGGCAUUGAGAAUGAUGUGGUAGGAAGUGGUGAUGGUGAACUGAAUCGCGAUGACACACAAAACAUGGCCGAGGAAUUAGGUACACCACAUCUAGAGCUUUGUGAAGAAAAGUUGUAUAACAAAUACGAUGACUUGGUUCUUUCAAUUGGAGGGCCGAAGCAACCCACAACUAAAGAGCUGAGACAGCAACUUCCUGCAAAGGCUUCAACUUCUCAAUGUAGCGUAAUUUGUGUCCAAGGCUACGAAGUGAAAGAGAGUGUUGCACCGAUUCUUGAAGCCAUAUUUAAGAAACACGGUGAUAUUGCAGCUGAAUGUAUAUACACUAUAGCUUCUGUGAAAGCGUCUUUUCUAGAGGCUGUUUGUGAAGUUGUCAGGCGGAUUCAAGCCAAUGAUGUUACUGAGAAAAUGGAAGAAAUAGAGGCCCUUGUAUCACAGGCACAAGCAGCUAAAAUUGAUGUGUCAUGGCUUUGGGUCCACUUGGAAGCCAUUUACAAAAGGAAGGAAGUAAUGAAAAAGUGGAGUUUGCUUAUGGAAACAAAAGUAAAUACUGGUUUGGUUCAAAUAGCUGCACAAAUGGAUCUGAGAGAGAGAUGUGCAGAGCUUGUGACAGCACAAGAACGAUUUGAAGAGGCUGAAAGGUGCAUCAGAGUACUUCAUCUUGUUGAAAAGAAGCUAAAUAACGAGAUUUUGGACUCUAAAAGACUCGUGGGGAAGACAACCAGUUUUAUAGGCUAACUAAAUCAUUCUAGAUGUGUAAUAGCAGAGGAUCGCCAAAGUCAUGUCUAAACCCCUAUUUUGUCUAAUGGCAGGAGAGCCCUUUCUCGAAAGACAGGAUUACAACACCGUAAGGCGUAAAUUUGGUGGGGUGAUGGCUAACAGAGGCCAGAGGUGAUGUACAUAUAUUCACCCUUACUAAAUAUAAAACAUCUGCAGUUGAUUCUUAAAGUUCAAAAUUUAAACUUAUAUAUUAAAAUGGUUGCAAGCUUCUCUUUCCUGUUCAUAUA